CCGCGUCGUCGUCCUCUCCAUCUCUGUGCGAGGAAUCGAGAUGGGACUCAGUAAUUCGAGCGCAGUGUCGACGAUUCUCAGCGCCGGUCGGCGUGCUUUUUCUUCAAUUCUGGCCGCUCUCGUCCUCCUCCGGCCAAACCAAGCCCACCUCCGCACUCCUGAUGCCGCCGUCGGCGAUACUCCGGCGAGCCCCUGGACUCCGUACCGCCUCCAUCACCUUCCCUGCGUCGAGCCGCACCCCCGACGCCAUCUCGCCCUUCUUGGUUCGCCCGGAAUCUGCAGAUCCGUGUUUGUUCUGUGAGUUCAGCCAUGGCUUCCAGUUCUGAGCUUCGCCUCCCGUGGUUCAAGUUGAUACGGGCCCUUUCGUUGACACGAUCAGACCAACAGCCCAGUGAUCCAGAUCUGCCGAUGGGCCUUGACCCAGAUCCGCAGGCGUGGCCCGUCCCUCCGUGCGCCCUGACCCUAUCUGUCGCCGCUUGCAGGCCAGAUUCCGGCCCAGAUCUUCCCC